AUUGAACGCUGGCGGCAUGCCUUACACAUGCAAGUCGAACGGUAACGGGCCUUCGGGUGCCGACGAGUGGCGAACGGGUGAGUAAUACAUCGGAACUUGCCCGAUCGUGGGGGAUAACGAGGCGAAAGCUUUGCUAAUACCGCAUACGAUCUACGGAUGAAAGCAGGGGACCGCAAGGCCUUGCGCGGACGGAGCGGCCGAUGGCAGAUUAGGUAGUUGGUGGGAUAAAAGCUUACCAAGCCGACGAUCUGUAGCUGGUCUGAGAGGAUGAUCAGCCACACUGGGACUGAGACACGGCCCAGACUCCUACGGGAGGCAGCAGUGGGGAAUUUUGGACAAUGGGCGCAAGCCUGAUCCAGCCAUGCCGCGUGCAGGAUGAAGGCCUUCGGGUUGUAAACUGCUUUUGUACGGAACGAAAAGCCUUCUUUUAAUACAGGAGGGUCAUGACGGUACCGUAAGAAUAAGCACCGGCUAACUACGUG
rnacentral:rRNA from 1 species